AGUGAACGCUGGCGGUAGGCCUAACACAUGCAAGUCGAACGGCAGCACAGUAAGAGCUUGCUCUUACGGGUGGCGAGUGGCGGACGGGUGAGGAAUACAUCGGAAUCUACUUUUUCGUGGGGGAUAACGUAGGGAAACUUACGCUAAUACCGCAUACGACCUACGGGUGAAAGCAGGGGAUCUUCGGACCUUGCGCGUUUGAAUGAGCCGAUGUCGGAUUAGCUAGUUGGCGGGGUAAAGGCCCACCAAGGCGACGAUCCGUAGCUGGUCUGAGAGGAUGAUCAGCCACACUGGAACUGAGACACGGUCCAGACUCCUACGGGAGGCAGCAGUGGGGAAUAUUGGACAAUGGGCGAAAGCCUGAUGCAGCCAUACCGCGUGGGUGAAGAAGGCCUUCGGGUUGUAAAGCCCUUUUGUUGGGAAAGAAAAGCAGCAGGUUAAUACCCCGCUGUUCUGACGGUACCCAAAGAAUAAGCACCGGCUAACUUCGUG
rnacentral:rRNA from 1 species